UUACCUAGUGUUCGAGCUUCUAUGGAACCACCUUAUCCCAUCCCGAACUAAGAAGUGAAACGUAGAAGGAACGAAGAUACUGAGAGGGAGGCCUCUUGGGAAAAUAGUUUAAUGCUAGGUAA
rnacentral:rRNA from 1 species